CGGCGCUGCGGCUUUUAUGUUUCGAAAUUUCUCCCGAUAAAUUCUUUGAUUUUAACUCGAUUUCGCGAAUAAAGACAUCUUUCGGAUGACAGCCUGGCCAGAGAUGUUUUUUUCAAGAAAAGUGUAAUUACAAGUACUGAGUUAUGGAUUCAAUUCAUCUCACCACCAUCACCAUGUCCAAGCAAGACCCAACACGAUCUACAGCAUAGAACAUCGAGACUGGCUGUCCGAAGAUGUUUUUCCUUGCAUAAUGAAAAGUGCUGAGAUGUAUGGAUGCACUUCACCUCGUCUGAGCAAGAACCACUUCAGUUCUAUGCACUUCAUCUCGUCUCCAUCACCAUGUCUGAGCAAGAACCACUUCAGUUCUAGAGUGUAUCGAGGAUCAACAUUGAAGACUAACGAGACAGGAGGAGCUGAAAACCAUGACUGGCCUUGUUGGUGGCAGGCAAAGUGGAGUUGUAGGAGAGACUGAGACCAAGCAUCUCUGGAAGGGUAUUGCAUAGGUUCUCAUUGACAACUUGGUGUAAUGAGCUGUAUAGUGUAUCCUCAGUUUCAAGAUCGGAGGCAAGGAUGUCAUAGAGGCUGUCCAAGAGAGAUCCGGCACUAUAUUGCAGGAGAAAAGGACAAAGCGAUUGGUUUUCAAGAUCAAAGGACAGGAUUAAUGUCACAGUGCCUGGAAAAACCAUCGCAGGAUACAAUAGUAAAAUCCUAACUGAAAUAUCUGCUGUGAACAAAGCUUGGGACGCAUCAAUGUUGCCUGGCAGCAUGGUCAACACAGAAGAGUUGGAACUAAAAGCUUUUCGUGUAAGCUUUCAAAGUUAUCGAGAGUUAUGUCGAAGAGAGCCUCUGGACCAUACAAUGAAAGGACAAAAGCGCCUUUGACUACCUGAUGAUCUAGACUGAAAAAGAGCACAGGUUAUCAAGGCUGGUGUCGCACCAUCAUCCUGGUAAAUGAGCCAAGAGCAGUCAACACAGACUGAGGGUUACAUGCAGCUCCAAAACACUACCAACAUCUCACAGGGAUUGGGUUGACCGCAGCGUUAUCUCAGUGGAGAAAAUGAUGAAGGAAUCUACAAUGUCUUUGCAAGAACAAGCAAUCUUAGAA